rnacentral:rRNA from 1 species
CCUACGGGUGGCAGCAGUGAGGAAUAUUGGUCAAUGGGCGUAAGCCUGAACCAGCCAAGUCGCGUGAAGGAUGAAGGUUCUAUGGAUUGUAAACCUCUUUUAUAAGGGAAUAAAGUGCGGUACGUGUACCGUUUUGUAUGUACCUUAUGAAUAAGGAUCGGCUAACUCCGUGCCAGCAGCCGCGGUAAUACGGAGGAUCCGAGCGUUAUCCGGAUUUAUUGGGUUUAAUGGGUGCGUAGGCGGCCUGUUAAGUCAGCGGUGAAAGUUUGGGGCUCAACCUGAGAAUUGCCGCUGAGACUGGGAGGCUUGAGUAUGUUUGAGGCAGGCGGAAUGCGUGGUGUAGCGGUGAAAUGCUUAGAUAUCACACAGAACCCCGAUUGCGAAGGCAGCCUGCCAAGCCAUGACUGACGUUGAUGCACGAAAGCGUGGGUAUCAAACAGGAUUAGAUACCCCAGUAGUC